UACGUAGGGUGCAAGCGUUAAUCGGAAUUACUGGGCGUAAAGCGUGCGCGGGCGGUUGGGCAAGACAGAUGGUAAAUCCCCGGGCUUAACCUGGGAAUUGCAUUUGUGACUGCACGGCUAGAGUGUGUCAGAGGGGGGUAGAAUUCCACGUGUAGCAGUGAAAUGCGUAGAUAUGUGGAGGAAUACCGAUGGCGAAGGCAGCCCCCUGGGAUAACACUGACGCUCAUGCACGAAAGCGUGGGGAGCAAACAGG
rnacentral:rRNA from 1 species